rnacentral:rRNA from 1 species
CAUGUCCGAGAGGGAAAGAACCCAGACCAUCAGCUAAGGUCCCCAAAUGUAUGCUAAGUUGAAAAAACGCGGUUUGAUUGCCCAGACAGCUAGGAUGUUGGCUUGGAAGCAGCCAUUCAUUUAAAGAGUGCGUAACAGCUCACUAGUCGAGCGAUCGAGCAUGGAUAAUAAUCGGGCAUAAGCAUACUACCGAAGCUAUGGAUUGUACAAUGUACAGUGGUAGGGGAGCAUUCUAAACCGGGUAGAAGGUGAUUUGUGAGAAUUGCUGGACUGUUUAGAAAAGAAAAUGUAGGCAUAAGUAACGAUAAUGCGGGCGAGAAACCCGCACACCGUAAGACCAAGGUUUCCGCAGCUAUGCUAAUCAGCUGCGGGUUAGUCGGGACCUAAGGCACACCCGAAGGGGGACGUCGAUGGCCAACGGGUUAAUAUUCCCGUACUUGUAAUAGUUGUGAUGGAGUGACGCAGUGGUGAAAGUACCGCGAACUGACGGAAUAGUUCGUUAAAGCACGUACCUAUAGGUUUGAUAGUAAAAUGCGUCAGACUUGGAGAAAUGCGAUAGUACUCGGAGCCUUCGGGCAAAGAGAUAGUGUACCUAAAGGCUGUCAAGAAAAGCUUCUAAACUUAGAUUAUUACAACCCGUACCGCAAACCGACACAGGUGGUCGAGGAGAGUAUCCUCAGGUGCUCGAGAGAUUCAUGGCUAAGGAAUUAGGCAAAAUAGACCUGUAACUUCGGGAGAAAGGUCGCCAGCAGCAAUGCUGGCCGCAGUGAAAAGGUCCAGGCGACUGUUUAUCAAAAACACAGGGCUCUGCCAAAUCGUAAGAUGAAGUAUAGGGCCUGACACCUGCCCGGUGCUGGAAGGUUAAGAGGAGAUGUUAUCUUCGGAGAAGCAUUGAAUUGAAGCCCCAGUAAACGGCGGCCGUAACUAUAACGGUCCUAAGGUAGCGAAAUUCCUUGUCGGGUAAGUUCCGACCUGCACGAAUGGUGUAACGAUCUGGACACUGUCUCAGCCAUGAGCUCGGUGAAAUUGUAGUAUCGGUGAAGAUGCCGAUUACCCGCAGUGGGACGAAAAGACCCUGUGCACCUUUACUAUAGCUUAGUAUUGUUCUUGGAUAAGUGAUGUGUAGGAUAGGUGGGAGACUGUGAAAUGGCGUCGCCAGGCGUUGUGGAGUCAUUGUUGAAAUACCACCCUUUGCUUAUCUGAGAUCUAACUCGGUAUGACGGAGGACAUUGCUUGGUGGGUAGUUUGACUGGGGUGGUCGCCUCCAAAAGAGUAACGGAGGCUUCUAAAGGUUCCCUCAGCACGCUUGGUAACCGUGCGUAGAGUGCAAUGGCAAAAGGGAGCUUGACUGAGAGACCAACAAGUCGAUCAGGUACGAAAGUAGAGCAUAGUGAUCCGGUGGUUCCGCAUGGAAGGGCCAUCGCUCAAAGGAUAAAAGGUACGCCGGGGAUAACAGGCUGAUCUCCCCCAAGAGCUCAUAUCGACGGGGGGGUUUGGCACCUCGAUGUCGGCUCGUCACAUCCUGGGGCUGGAGAAGGUCCCAAGGGUUGGGCUGUUCGCCCAUUAAAGUGGCACGCGAGCUGGGUUCAGAACGUCGUGAGACAGUUCGGUCUCUAUCUACUGUGGGCGUUAGAAAUUUGAGUGGAUCUGAUUCUAGUACGAGAGGACCGAAUUGGACCAACCUCUGGUGUAUCAGUUGUGCCGCCAGGUGCAUCGCUGAGUAGCUACGUUGGGAAGGGAUAAGCGCUGAAAGCAUAUAAGCGCGAAACCCACCACAAGAUGAGAUUUCU